rnacentral:rRNA from 1 species
AUUGAACGCUGGCGGCAGGCCUAACACAUGCAAGUCGAGCGGAUGAAGGGAGCUUGCUCCUGGAUUCAGCGGCGGACGGGUGAGUAAUGCCUAGGAAUCUGCCUGGUAGUGGGGGAUAACGUCCGGAAACGGGCGCUAAUACCGCAUACGUCCUGAGGGAGAAAGUGGGGGAUCUUCGGACCUCACGCUAUCAGAUGAGCCUAGGUCGGAUUAGCUAGUUGGUGGGGUAAAGGCCUACCAGGGCGACGAUCCGUAACUGGUCUGAGAGGAUGAUCAGUCACACUGGAACUGAGACACGGUCCAGACUCCUACGGGAGGCAGCAGUGGGGAAUAUUGGACAAUGGGCGAAAGCCUGAUCCAGCCAUGCCGCGUGUGUGAAGAAGGUCUUCGGAUUGUAAAGCACUUUAAGUUGGGAGGAAGGGCAGUAAGUUAAUACCUUGCUGUUUUGACGUUACCAGCAGAAUAAGCACCGGCUAACUUCGUG